CCGCAGCUCUACCCCCCCUACAAGACCGGAUAUGACUGCAGGAUCAACAGACUCCUCUGGCCGGAGCAGUAAGAACCCUACAUACUGCCUACAAUGACUACAGUUUCACUGGAGGACUACAGGCAUCGAAUGGAGAACUGUUUCCACAAAUAAUAUGGCAUCAGACCGGCAACCGAUAACUACAAGAGCGUCUUGAAGGCUGUCCUGAUAAAUGGACUUUUGCCUCAUGUUAAAGAUGACCUGCAUUGGCUGGGAAACUACUACCCUACAAACAGUCAUUGAACACUGUAAACACGCUGAGAGGCAGCAACUCUCGAGAAGAAAAGACGAAACCAGAGAAUGAAAAGGAUGGUGUGAAACUACAAGCUGCCCAGCUAGCAUUCUCAAGGACCGGGCCAGCAGUGGCAGGCUCAGGGAGGACCUCAAAACGACGAACAGAAAGGAAAAGGAAGAAGUAGAGGGAGACAGUGCGGACGGACGGGCUGGACAACAGCAACCACAGCGUAUGAACUUUGCCUGCUCUAAUUGUGGAAAGAAUAGAUAUUUUGCUGUUGGAUCGGGCGGUGUCGGGCGUGGGGUAGGUAACUGGAGAACAGGACCGACACCAAAAACGACCAUCUACAACCCACACACAGACUGACGCGAGGUUGAGAGAGUUGACACUCUUGGACAGUGUUUAAAGAUUUUUCAAGCUCCCGUGAGGAGGCAAUGGUUUGUCUCUUCGUCAAUGAACCAAGGGGAGGACAGCUCCACAAAUCUUCAACCAGGCGAUUGGUUGGUCAUCAUGGACCUCCGCAGACAGACUUGGCACCAACAGCGCUGGACUGGUCCAUUCCAGGUGCUCCUGACUGCCCAGGCAGGUUGCAGAGAGGUCUACAUGGGUUCACUUCAGCCAUUGCAGCUGUUGUAUGGGCCCUGGGAGAAGUGGCCACAAUGCAACUAAAGUAUACAUCACCAGCAUAGUCCCACGGCAGGACUUAAAUAACAGCCGCUCUAUCUCUGAAGACCAUCCAGUUUCUAUUUGCCAAUAUAUUUUUAACUGUGCUGUAUCACAAAAGUUCUGAACCUAUAUACAUUUUACAGAUACAGUAUAUUUUACAUUAGCUAUCGUGUUGUUUUUAGUCCCACCCUUCAGUUCCACUCAACUCCUCCCAUCUAUCUCAACACAAUCCAUUUUGAUUACUAUUUUUCCAUAUUUUUCACCUGUGCUGUGAUGUUUCGCAAAAUUGCUAAACCUUUCUAUUCUUAUAGUUUCUACAGAUUGUACAUAAAAACAUAUUUGCUAAAAGUAUUAUUAUACUGUAUUAUUGAUUGAUUGACGAUUACUUUUCAAAUCACCCAGCAGUGCUAUUUGCAGAGUUAGCUCAAGGUAAAUGUUGCAAUUCUUCAGCCAUUCCUGGACUUGUGACCAAAACCAAGCUAAAUACAGUGUUUCCUUUUUUAAAAAGUUGCAUCAUACUGCAGCACACCUUACGGGCUGCUACAGCAUUCUAAGGCACGUUAUUGAAUUGUGAGCCAUUUUUUCUGUUAAUGCAAGUUAGUGCUAGUUUGACCACCAGAGGGCAUCUUUGAGAAUAAUUUGAUAGCCUUCCAUAUUGGCAUUACCAGAUCAUUUAAAAAUGUUUUUUGUAAUAACAUAGUAUAUGGGAUUAAUUUAAAGAAAUUUGGCUUAAUUCAUUUGAUAAAUAUUAUGGUGUUUCUAUUCUGAGAAAUAGCAAGGCACACCAAGCAAGCGGCAUCUUGAAGACCAAGGAGCUCUCCAAACAGGUCAUGGACAAAGCUAUGGAGAAGUACAAAUCAGGGUUGGGUUAUAAAAAAAUAUCUGAAACUUUGAACAUCCAUUAAAUCCAUUAUUUAAAAAAGGGAAAGAAUAUGGCACACAACAAACCUGCCAAGAGAGGGCCACCCACCAAAACUCCCGAACCAGGCAAGGAGGGCAUUAAUCAGAGAGGCAAAAAAGAUAACCCUGAAGGAGCUGCAAAGCUCCACAGCGGAGAUUGGAGUAUCUUGCCAUACGACCACUUUAAGCCGUACACUCCACAUAGCUACUCUUUACGGAAGAUUGGCCAGAAAAAAAAGCCAUUGCUUAAAAAAAAGAAACAAACAAGUUUGGCGUUCACCAAAAAGGCAUGUGGGAGACUCCCCAAACAUAUGAAAGAUGGUACUCUGGUUAGAUGAUACAUUUAGCUCAUCACCCCGACAACCACAUCCACACAGUGAAGCAUGGUGGUGGAAGCAUCAUGCUGUGGAGAUGUUUUUUAUCGGCAGGGACUGGAAAACUGGUCAAAAUUGAAGGAAUGAUGGAUGGCGCUAAACACAGGGAAAUUCUUGAGGGAAACCUGUUUCAGUCUUCAAGAGAUUUGAGACUGGGAUGGAGGUUCACCUUCGAGCAGGACAAUGACCCUAAGCAUACUGCUAAAGCAACACUCGAGUGGUUUAAGGGGAAACAUUUAAAUGGCUUGGAAUGGACCAGUCAAAGCCCAGACCUCAAUCCAAUUGAGAAUCUGUGGUAUGACUUAAAGAUUGCUUUACACCAGUGGAACCCAUCCAACUUGAAGGAGUUGUAGCAGUUUUGCCUUGAAGAAUGGGAAAAAAUCCCAAUGGCUAGAUGUGCCAAGCUUAUAGAGACAUACCCCAAGAGACUUGCAGCUGUAAUUGCUGAAAAAGGUGGCUCUACAAAGUAUUGACUUUGGGGGGGUGAAUAGUUAUGCACUCUCAAGUUUUACGUUUUUUUGUCUUAUUUCUUGUUUGUUUCACAAUAAUAAAUAUUUUGCUUCUUCAAAGUGGUAGGCAUGUUGUGUAAAUCAAAUUAAACAAACCCCCCAAAAAUCUAUUUUAAUUCCAGGGUUGUAAGGCAACAAUAUAGGAAAAAUGCCAAGGGGGGUGAAUAUUUUCGCAAGCCACUGUAAGUCAGAGAGGUGUUUCUGGGACCACAUUGUUUAUUUCUAGGUAGGAUUAUAGCAAUAUUUUGUUACCUUUAUGCCUAUUUACAUGUAUAUUUCUAUUAUUGUACCUAAUGUUGGCUGUUAGGCUAAAUGUAUUUUUUUCUUCUCCAAAUGCAGACAAUGACCCAGAACACACUGCCACCCGGCUUUGCAUUGUAAAUGAGGGCAUAAACUGGGUCAAGACGCCAGCAGAGCCUCCUGAUUUAAACCCGAUCUAACUUGUUUGGCAUCAACUGAAAACAUUAAUCCGUAGCUCUGACAAGCAAAGAUGAACUGGUCAAGGCCAUCAAGAUGUUGUGGCUAGAGAAAUUGAUGAAACAACAAUGCAACAAAUACAUUGAUCAUCUCAGCAAGGUUUUACCUGUGGUCGUGGAGCUGGGUGGAAGUGCGACUAAAAUGGAGUUUAAAUAAACAUCUGCAUUUUAAUGUAUGCUCGUUAUUUUAUUAGCAAAAGCAUAAAGAUGUUGGUGAAGAAAUACUGUACACUGUUGUUUUUAGUUAGAAAUGUAACACUUUAGAGUACUUAAGCAUCGAAUACAUUGGAAGUUGGGGGAUUUUCACUCCAAUAGCUGGGCUAUAAAAAGUCUAUUGUCCUGCUAAUAGGAAACAUUUGCAUGAUGGGCUACACCUGCUACAGUACACUUGUGAAAAACAAGUGUUUGAAAACCUUUUUCAAAAUGCCUCCAGUUGUCCAUCACUACCCUAAAUAAAAACACAGCAUCUUGUUUA